ACUGGCUGCCCGGUCCCGGAUCCCCAAGGGCGACGUUUCUAUUUGGGAUCCACAACAGGUGCCUGAGAAACAAAGCCGCAGAUCGCUCCACCGCUGUGCGCAGCCCCCUGCUGAGGGGCCAGCGGCUCUCCCUGGGACCCCAGAACCUUAACACAAUUCUGAGGUGGAAGAAAUGGGGAACACCAGGCCUGGCCUCAUGGAGACCGGGGAGUCAGAACCUGAGCUCUGGCUCCUGGAGCUGCUGCGAGUGAGUGGUGGAAACCUGCCCCCUUAGAGAAGCUGCAGCUGAUCAGCAUCAUGCAAGGGACUGCUGAGAUGGUAGCAUGCUGGUAAUGAAGUGUUAUGGAGCCACUCCAUCCUUUAUUCAUCCUUUUCCUCAUACACACAGAGAGCAAAGCACAGGAACCAGCUACAGAAUUUGCAAGUGGAGAAUCCAGGUACCUUUAAAAGUCUAUUUAGUGAAAAUCUCUGGCUAUUGAUGUGACGGUUAAUUUUAUGUGCCAACUUGGCUAGGCCAUGGUACCCAGUUUUUCAUAAAAGAUCAGUCUAGAUGUUGUGAAGGUAUAUUUUUAAAUGUGAUUAACAUUUUAUUCAGUGGACUUCAAGUAAAGCAGAUUAUCC
rnacentral:lncRNA from 1 species